UUUCAAAAUAUGGUUUUGGAUUGAAAAUAAUAUUUAAUUGCUAAAUUACAGAGAGUUCUGCUUUGCCUAAGGUUUUUUUUUGUGUUUUUUUUUUUUUUUUUUUUUUUACCCAUAUGCCUCGAGUGAUUAAGUACUUGCAGGUGGUUUUUUUCAGCAUUUAUUAACUUGGCUCAAGUUUAAAUACAUUAUUGGUUGUCUUUUCUUUGGUGUCUCAGCUUGCUUUUUUUUUUUUUUCUGGAAAAAUAAUCAAAAGAAAUUCAUACCAAGGAAGACUGCUCACCUAGGUGAAUUCAUAAUCCUCACUCAGGAGAAGAAUGCAAGGAUCAAAGUGGGACAGCAGAAAGACAGCAAGUCAGGGAAAGGUUCCACAUCUUCUCUUGACAAGGAAAUGAUAUCCAUGGCUUGUUGGAACAUGCUACAGUUUCUAGCAGGAUUCAGUUAAACAAAAGAGAGGAAUCUUUGUCAGGUUAAAAAGAUGAGGCUGUUCUUCAUUGUGGAUUGCUAGCAGCCCAACUAAGGAACAACAAAAAGAAAGAAAGCACUGAUAUCCUUCCUUUUAGUCACGUAGUAUAUUCACUCACUGGACAAUUUCUAUGACUAUGUGUCACAGUUUACAGCUCCGUAAUAUUUUUGAAGUGGUUAGUCAUUGUUUCUGUUCAAUUCGUUUAACAAUUCUUAGGUGACUAACUUAAGCUUUCCACAAAUGUGAAAAAUUAUUGUUCUGGAAUGCAGUCAUUUAUGGCUGCAGGGUGAAAAACCCUACAAGACUUCAUCAGAUAUCAGCAGCAGCUUUUAAACUUUUUUUUCUUUUUUUUUUUAACAUGAAAUUUUUCUGCUAAAUAAAAGAAAAAAAAACAUUUUUAUUCA
rnacentral:lncRNA from 1 species